AUUGAACGCUGGCGGCAGGCCUAACACAUGCAAGUCGGACGAGAGGCGGACGGGUGAGUAAUGUAUGGGAAUCUGCCUGAUGGAGGGGGAUAACUACUGGAACCGGUCGCUACUACCGCAUACCAUCAGCUGAACCCAUAUGGGAUUAGCUUGUAGGUUGGGUAACGGCUCACCUAGGCGACGAUCCCUAGCUGGUCUGAGAGGAUGAACAGCCAAACUGGAACUGAGACACGGUCCAGACGCCUACGGGAGGCAGCAGUGGGGAAUAUUGCACAAUUGGCGAAAGCCUGAUGCAGCCAUGCCGCGUGUAUGAAGAAGGCCUUCGGGUUGUAAAGUACUUUCAGUCGGGAGGCGUUACCCGCAGAAGAAGCACCGGCUAACUCCGUGCCAGCCGGCGGGGGAAUAC
rnacentral:rRNA from 1 species